UUUAAUACAGUUCAUCAAUAUAGGAAAUCAGAAGAGAGUAUUGCAAACACAAUUAAUGUAUUGGAUAUUUCAAAAUUCGUCAUGUCCUCGAUCCGUGUAUAAUUAAAAUCUCACCUGUCAGAUUUCUUUGUCCUCUUUUUCUUAUACUGUUCCCGUUAUUAUUCAUGUAUUUAUUUUCCGUUAUUAUUUAUUUAUUUAUUUAUUUAUUUAUUUUGACUUUCCUCUCUUCCUCCAUAAAUUUUUACGAUCCCCUUUUUUUUUUAUAAGAUCUUGUUUGGUUUUUCACUCUUUCUCCUGACAUUUUUUUUUGUCAUCUCUCUCUCAAAUUGCUCUCUCUCUCUGAACUCACUUUUCUCUGUGCCCCUUUUUUCUUCUUUUUCCAAAUAAAGGCCCCUUGUGAUUUUUACCUUUUUGACUUUUCUUUCUCCUCCCUAAACUCAUAUACCGUCUCCUGUCAUUUUUUCAAAUCAUCCGUCCAAUUCACUCUUUCAACUCUUCUUUUCCCUUUUUUAACUCUCUCUCUCUCUCCCCUUUUCCAACUUUUCUCUUCCUUUUAAAUUCUAUCUCUCUCUCAUUUUCACUCACUGAGCCACCCAUUCCCCUUCUAAGUUCUAACCCAAGAGACCCAAAAACUCUCAUAUAGAUAUCGACUCUCAAUUGCACCACCUCUCAUUUUUCUUUUUUCUUUUUUCUUUUGCCUAACCCUCAUCUCUUCAUCUCUCUCUCUCUCUCUCUCUCUCUAUAUAUAUAUAUAUAUAUAUAUAUUUAUUUUUUUUAUUUUUUUUUCACUUCAAGAACCUUUUACAUUAAUCGAAGAGCUCACCACGAAAAAGUGAUGGAGUAGCUUUUAUUUUUUACCAAUAUACCAAACUUGCUUAUUUCAGAAUAAGUUCAAUUCUCUCCUUCUUUUAGUUGUCAAAUACAAUGUUUUUCUUUUAAUUUGGCUUAGGAAGCAGUUUAAUUGAUAGUGUCAUUUUGAUAUAUUUUAGUCCUAUCCUCUGGUGUUGAAUGACUAAUAAGAGAGGAUGGAUCAAACUUUUUCUUUCAUAUAUAUAUUUUGCUUGUUCAUUUUUUGGUGAUGUAAAAUUUAAUUAAUAUUGUCAAAUAUUAACUUUACCAUCUUUGUUCUUAAAAAAUUAUAUUUUUUUGUCAAACAGAAAAGAAGUUUUCAUGUAACCAAGUAUUGAACUAGGAGCCUGUUUGGAUGAACUUAUUUUAACUAGCUUAUAAGCUGUUUGAGUUAAAAAAAAAAAAAGUUAGGUUGCUCAACUUAUUUUUUUUUUGGCUUAUAAACUAUUUUCAGCUUAUAAAUUGUUUUAGAUAAGCUAAAUUAAACGGGCUCAAUUAUUUUUUUGAAUUUAUUUUAAACACAAAAUGACUUUAAGCUAGUCAGUCAAACACUCAAAACAGCUUAUAAACCAAUCCAAAUGGGCUCUAGCUCGUAUUUAACAGCUCUUGAACUUCAUUUUUUAUUAUUAGAUUCUCAUCUAACAAAAAAGAUCAUUUUGUUUUCAUAUGAACUAUUCUAAAUAAAGUUAAGUGUGAUUUUGGAAUUAAUUUUUUUAUUUAAAAAAAUCAUGUAAUGCAUUUGUCUCACAUCAUAAAACAUUUUUUGUCCCUUCUGGUAUUCCCUUUAAUAACAGAUGUUUAACUCAACAUAGAAAUAACUUUAAAAAAUCUCUUCACAUUUCAAGCUUAGCUAUCUUUUCUUUAAACAAUCUGAGCAACAGUAUAAAAAUAAUGCGAGCAAGUGAGUGCGAGUUUGGUAUUGAGAAUAGAGACGGAGACGAUUGUUUCUCAUGACCAAUUAAAAAAUAACUAUCGAUUUUUGAGGCCUUCAUUUUUAAAAUACAGAGAUAUAUUAAUUUAUCAAGGAUGUUGUCCCAAAAAAAUCAUAUGUUUUAUAGUGGUUUUCUGUCGAAAGUUUGCAUUUUAUUGUAACGACCCGUUUGAUCGUUAUUGUGUUUUUACUGUUUUUUCCCCUGUUGACUCGUCCCCGAGCCUUGUUAGUAUUAUUUUGACCUGCGGGGACUGGUGGCACGGUUCCCUAGGCAUCGUUUUGGGUUUUGAAAUGACUUUUAGAAAAUCUUGAUCUUAAAGCGAAAUUGUUUGACUCGAAGUUGACUUGGGUAAACGUGCUUGUAAUCGAAUUCUGACAGUUCCAUUAGGUCCGGAGGGUGAUUUAUGACCUAGCGGUGUCAUUGGUUGGUUCCCGAAGGGUUCGCGUGCGAUUUGGGUCAUUGGUUGAGAAACUAGUUAAGUUAGAAUUGGAGUUGAUCACGGUCAACAUCGAGUCAAGGUGAUCCCGCGUCGAUGUUUUAAAAGUUCCAAUAAGUUUUUAUGAUGAUUUUGGACAUGUCCACAAAGUUUGGUUAGAUUCCGAUGAGUUUUGGAUAAGUUUGAGCUGUAUGGUGAUUAUUUUCGGUUUCGACGUCGAUUUGAGCAUAAAGGGUACCAUAUUGAGCAAAUGACCUUUGAUUCAUGUUUGGACUGAACCAUUAUAUCCGUAUCGUAAUUUUGGUACCAUAGCAACUGAAAUCAUCAAGUUUCGAUAUCGUAUGAGGGGAUUAUGGUCAUUUUACUAAGAAUUGGGUUGCCAGAUUUUUCAGAUUACUUAUGAAAUUGCCACUGAAUUCCCAACUAUUGAAACUUCCAUAUCUCCUUCAUUAUAAGGUCAAAUGGAGUGAAUCAAAAGCAAGUUUUGGGAUUGUUUGGUACUAGAAACGAGGCAAAACAAUUGGGCGUUUUUAGCUAUUAAUGUUGUUAGAGUUUCUCUCAUCUUGAAAGUUUGGGUUUGGGAAAAUUCAAGGAUGUUCUUCAAAAUUUCUUCCAUUGGAAUUUCAGGUUGGAUCUACUUUUGUUUCUCGUGGCUGAUAGUCGCUCCGAGAUUUGCUUAGAGUCCACAGGGUGAGCACGAGACGUCCGCUGCCUUGAAGAUUCUUCUUAUUUAUGUCUUAUUUUCUAUUCCUAGACAUAUUCGGACUUGAUGUUGUUACGGUUCGCUUUUACGCAGGCAAGGGAAACGAAUUCUACCCCCUACUGUAGUUGUGAUGAUCAAUUCAGCCCAGGUGAACAAGUUGAUGUUAAUGAACAUAGCUUGCUACGUUGCCAAGAGCCUCCAGAAUGUAAUUUGACGAAUUUGUCCAUUAAUGCAGGACCAAAUUCUCAAGGUAUUGGCUGCAUCAAGAUUUGAAAUUGGAUUUAAAGAUGAAAUUUGAGAUGAGUUUUGGGUUUUUAUCAUUUGGGCAUGUUUUUGCUUUUUUUUCUUUUUUUCUCCAUGGAAGAAGAUGAAGCUAGAGGGGUGGGGCGGGUCAACAAAAAAAAGGGGUAUUUUUUUUGAAAUUGGGUAAUUUGAGAGGAUUAGGGGGUUUCCAUCCAAAUAGGAGCAUAAGUGUGAAAUUUGAAGACAGCAGGGGUAUUUUUGUUAACUUUCACUAACGAAGGAUAUAUUUAACUAAUAAAACAAAGUAGAUGAGUAUAUUUGACCCUUUUCCCUUAGAAAUUCACAUAAGUGUUCAACUCACUUUAUUUCCGGAUUAGGAUACACUCGGGAUUUCUCCCGAGUAGAGUCGAUACUAUUCUAGUCCUAAUAAAAUGUGUUUAGUUCUUAUGAGUUUUA